GAGACAUCCAUGGUCUCUACGGGGAAAAUGAAAAAACUUCUUAAAAGACUUAAAGAAGGGGGCGCCUAGGUUCCUCGGUCGGUGAAGUGUCUGCCUUCGGCUCAGGUCAUGAUCUCAGGGUCCUGGGAUUGAGUCCCACAUCGGGCUCCUUGCUCAGCAGGGAGUCUGCUUCUCCCUCUGCCCUCCCCCUCCCGCCCCCCCCCCCCAUUCACUCACACACACACUCUCUCUCAAUAAAGUCUUAAAAAAAAAAAAGACAUUAAAGAAGUCCUGAAUGAAUGGAGAAACAAUCCCUGUUUAUAAGUCAAAAGGCUGAUUAUUAUAAAGAUAUCAAUUUCCCUCAAAUGAUCUGUGGUUUAAUACCACCCCAACAAAAUCCCCAAGAGUUUUUUUCCCAUGGAAUAGGCCAAGCUGAUUCCAGUACAUAUAUGGGGAAAUACAAAGAACCGAGAGUAGUCAAGACUCUUUAAAAAAAAAAAAAAAAAAAGGGGGGGGGAUGGGGUUUAGCGGAUGUCAAGGUUCAUUCUAAAGCUGUGGUCAUUGGGACAGGCUGGUGCGGGCACAGGGCUCAGCACCGACUAAUGGAAAAGCCCGCAGACAGACUUGUGCUCCGUCUAAACACCCUUGUCUGAGGGCAGAGAAAGCUUGGCAGAGCCGAGGGGAAGGCAGACCGUGACCCCUGGAGGUGAGCGAUGGGGGUACAGCCUGGUCGCUGGCCACCAGGCAGGGAGUUGCUUGUCCGAGCUUUGUGACGUCACCCCCUGCCCCAGCCUCAGCCUUCCCACCUGUGCAGUAAGCAGAUGGAACUAGAAAGCCAGAGGGACCCUUUCCAGCUGCGGUUUACCUGAUCCUGAGUGGAACGAGGUGGCCAUCGUCUGCCGGCAGAAAGCCAGUGCAUUAGGCAGGCGGCACCACUGACAACCUCUUGAUGCUUCUUCCUUUUGUCCUUCUCAAGGUGUCCUCUAAACCGAGCGCUGACGAGCACCCCGAGAGCGGCAGAGUCUCCAGAGCCCCAGGCAGCAGCCACAGGAGGCCAGAGAGACAGUCGGGCAUCUCGGCCAUCUCAUACGACUACUCGGAAGAGGAGCUGAUGGCCAGCAUCGAGCAGGAGUAUUGUCGCUGAGGCCACCGGAGCAGCCCUGCAGGCCCCCGCCCCAGCCAGCCGAGGCUGCUCCUCUGCCCCCCACCCCGCCUGACCCCCCGCCUGACCAGACUGGGGUUGCAGCCCCGCCCCUGCCCAGGCUCUGGCUGGAGCUGAGCCCCCUCCAACAUGCAGUUACUCCUGGUUCUUUCAAAAGAUCCGGCUUCAAGCUUGCUGGCAAAGGGUGGUCAGCCAGCAGACUCCCAGCUACUCCUCUCUCAGUCUCUGGGGAGGGCUUGUCUCCGGGGUUCUCCUGGAGCCUGAAAUGCUUUCCUGGCCGGAUGGCCCUCUCUGCACCAGGACUGGGGACAGCUCACCAGUGAGUGUGGCCCAGACUGGCUCCCUUGGGGCCUCUAAGGCGUCCCCCAGCACCUGACGGCACCCAGGCAGUGUGCUUUCCUGAGCUGGGGGGAGUCACCCUGGUUUUGCCCCGCAGCUGCCUGGAGAUGUUGGUUCUGUGGGUCUGGGGCGGGGCCGGAGAGUCUGAAUUUCUAACCAGCCCCCAGGUGAGACCCGAGCUCCUGGACCCCAGCCUGGCACCGGGUAGGAAGGCCUGAGUCUAAGCUUUAGACCUUAACUGACUCUUCCUUCCUGGCACUGGGGCUGCUCAGAGCCACAGCCCCCCUGCCCCCCUGGAGAGAGGCCUGCUCCCCUCCUCGGCAGGUGUGAUGGACAGAGAGCACAGGGCUGGGAGCUGGAGCCUCAGUUCUGAUCCUCGCCCUUGCACUAACGUGCCUGUGCGCCUCAGUUUCCCUCUCUAGAAAUGGAGUCCUGGAGGCUCUUCCAGGCAUUCCAGCCCCGACAGUCUGGGAUCAGGCAAUUCCAGGCUUCCUUGAUCUGUGCUGUUCUGCCAGCCCCCUGGGGCACAGAGCUGCCCCUGCAGCUUUGGGGGAGCACCCCGGCCCCAACUGGAGGAGGUCCUGAGGAACACCUGCUCUCACCAGCCCGAGGGGACCGGUUUACUCUCUUCCCACCUGGGAGAAG
ensembl:lncRNA